rnacentral:rRNA from 1 species
UACGUAGGGUGCAAGCGUUGUCCGGAAUUAUUGGGCGUAAAGAGCUCGUAGGCGGUUUGUCGCGUCUGCUGUGAAAACCCGAGGCUCAACCUCGGGCCUGCAGUGGGUACGGGCAGACUAGAGUGCGGUAGGGGAGAUUGGAAUUCCUGGUGUAGCGGUGGAAUGCGCAGAUAUCAGGAGGAACACCAAUGGCGAAGGCAGGUCUCUGGGCCACUACUGACGCUGAGGAGCGAAAGCAUGGGUAGCGAACAGG